rnacentral:pre_miRNA from 13 species
UAAUUUGUUUGAGACAGAUCUUCAUCUAGCUAUGGUAAACUCACAACUGACUGCUCAAAAUCACUCGUUAUCGCAAGUCCGACUACAUCAUUGACCUUGAAAAACAAAGGACAACUGUUGUGUGAAAAAUAAUUU